GCCAGGGUAGCUUAGUGGUAGAGCGUGGGAAUCAUAACCCCAAGGUCGCGAGUCCAAUUCUCGCCCCUGGCA
rnacentral:tRNA from 1 species